AAGAUCCGGAGAUAAACGACUAGUGAUAGAGGCGCGGAAACUGAGGCUCCGGGCGGGUCAGGCGGUAACAAGAGUUCUAUAUAUAAUAAUAGCAACAAUAGUUGUAUAUAUACGGUGAGUUAACUGAGGCAGUCGGAGAGCAAAACUCAUUUGCGCACAGCUGCGGACAGCUGAGAAGUGGUCAAGUCGGAAGUGGAACGCAGCUCAGAAGAGUAUAAAGUGAAACGAAGUCCCUCUGCUACCCAUACAUGGCCUUCUGCUCACCUCCCAGAAGCAGCUG